GUGCCUAUGGUAUAACGGUUAUUACUUCGGUUUGUGGAUCCGACAAUCUCGGUUCGAUUCCGAGUAGGCACCCA
rnacentral:tRNA from 1 species